rnacentral:ncRNA from 2 species
GCCUGCAACGAUCGCGCGGGUGCCUUUCGGGGCUGAAAUGGGAAUGCGGUGCGGAGGAAACUCCCAUUCCGCAGCUGUCCCUGCAACUGUAAGCGGCGAGCGAGAUGCCGGGGCUCCCUCAACGGAGCCGGCCACUGGAUGAAGGCGCCCAUCGGCGCCGGUUCCGGGAAGGCCGCGUAUCGAGCUUUGACCCGUGAGCCAGGAGACCUGCCGGCGCGUCGGUCGCUCU